AGUCGAACGGCAGCGCGGGGCAACCUGGCGGCGAGCGGCGAACGGGUGAGUAAUAUAUCGGAACGUACCCUGGAGUGGGGGAUAACGUAGCGAAAGUUACGCUAAUACCGCAUACGAUCUAAGGAUGAAAGUGGGGGCUCGCAAGACCUCAUGCUCCUGGAGCGGCCGAUAUCUGAUUAGCUAGUUGGUGAGGUAAAGGCUCACCAAGGCUACGAUCAGUAGCUGGUCUGAGAGGACGAUCAGCCACACUGGAACUGAGACACGGUCCAGACUCCUACGGGAGGCAGCAGUGGGGAAUUUUGGACAAUGGGCGCAAGCCUGAUCCAGCAAUGCCGCGUGAGUGAAGAAGGCCUUCGGGUUGUAAAGCUCUUUUGUCAGGGAAGAAACGGCGGUGGCUAAUAUCCACCGCUAAUGACGGUACCUGAAGAAUAAGCACCGGCUAACUACGUGCCAGCAGCCGCGGUAAUACGUAGGGUGCAAGCGUUAAUCGGAAUUACUGGGCGUAAAGCGUGCGCAGGCGGUUUUGUAAGUCUGAUGUGAAAUCCCCGGGCUUAACCUGGGAAUUGCAUUGGAGACUGCAAGGCUAGAAUCUGGCAGAGGGGGGUAGAAUUCCACGUGUAGCAGUGAAAUGCGUAGAGACGUGGAGGAACACCGAUGGCGAAGCAGCCCCCUGGGUC
rnacentral:rRNA from 1 species